rnacentral:rRNA from 1 species
GGGUUGUGAGGUUAAGCGACUAAGCGUACACGGUGGAUGCCCUGGCAGUCAGAGGCGAUGAAGGACGUGCUAAUCUGCGAUAAGCGUCGGUAAGGUGAUAUGAACCGUUAUAACCGGCGAUUUCCGAAUGGGGAAACCCAGUGUGAUUCGUCACACUAUCAUUACGUGAAUACAUAGCGUAAUGAAGCGAACCGGGGGAACUGAAACAUCUAAGUACCCCGAGGAAAAGAAAUCAACCGAGAUUCCCCCAGUAGCGGCGAGCGAACGGGGAGCAGCCCAGAGUCUGAAUCAGCUUGUGUGUUAGUGGAACGGUCUGGAAAGUCCGACGGUACAGGGUGAUAGUCCCGUACACCAAAAUGCACAGGUUGUGAACUCGAAGAGUAGGGCGGGACACGUGGUAUCCUGUCUGAAUAUGGGGGGACCAUCCUCCAAGGCUAAAUACUCCUGACUGACCGAUAGUGAACCAGUACCGUGAGGGAAAGGCGAAAAGAACCCCGGCGAGGGGAGUGAAAAAGAACCUGAAACCGUGUACGUACAAGCAGUGGGAGCACCUUCGGGUGUGACUGCGUACCUUUUGUAUAAUGGGUCAGCGACUUAUAUUCUGUAGCAAGGUUAACCGAAUAGGGGAGCCGGAGGGAAACCGAGUCUUAACCGGGCGUUAAGUUGCAGGGUAUAGACCCGAAACCCGGUGAUCUAGCCAUGGGCAGGUUGAAGGUUGGGUAACACUAACUGGAGGACCGAACCGACUAAUGUUGAAAAAUUAGCGGAUGACCUGUGGCUGGGGGUGAAAGGCCAAUCAAACCGGGAGAUAGCUGGUUCUCCCCGAAAGCUAUUUAGGUAGCGCCUCGUGAAUUCAUCUCCGGGGGUAGAGCACUGUUUCGGCUAGGGGGUCAUCCCGACUUACCAACCCGAUGCAAACUGCGAAUACCGAAGAAUGUUAUCACGGGAGACACACGGCGGGUGCUAACGUCCGUCGUGAAGAGGGAAACAACCCAGACCGCCAGCUAAGGUCCCAAAGUCACAGUUAAGUGGGAAACGAUGUGGGAAGGCUCAGACAGCCAGGAUGUUGGCUUAGAAGCAGCCAUCAUUUAAAGAAAGCGUAAUAGCUCACUGGUCGAGUCGGCCUGCGCGGAAGAUGUAACGGGGCUAAACUGUGCACCGAAGCUGCGGCAGCGACACUCUGUGUUGUUGGGUAGGGGAGCGUUCUGUAAGCCUGCGAAGGUGUCUCGUGAGGGAUGCUGGAGGUAUCAGAAGUGCGAAUGCUGACAUAAGUAACGAUAAUGCGGGUGAAAAACCCGCACGCCGGAAGACCAAGGGUUCCUGUCCAACGUUAAUCGGGGCAGGGUGAGUCGACCCCUAAGGCGAGGCCGAAAGGCGUAGUCGAUGGGAAACAGGUUAAUAUUCCUGUACUUGGUGUUACUGCGAAGGGGGGACGGAGAAGGCUAUGUUAGCCGGGCGACGGUUGUCCCGGUUUAAGCAUGUAGGCGGGUGUUUUAGGUAAAUCCGGAACGCUACUAACGCUGAGGUGUGAUGACGAGGCACUACGGUGCUGAAG